rnacentral:rRNA from 1 species
ACCCCUACGGGAGGCAGCAGUGGGGAAUAUUGCGCAAUGGGGGCAACCCUGACGCAGCCAUGCCGCGUGUGUGAAGAAGGCCCUAGGGUUGUAAAGCACUUACAAUUGGGAGGAAAGGUUGCAGCUUAAUACGUUGUAACUAUGACGUUACCUUUAGAAGAAGCACCGGCUAACUCCGUGCCAGCAGCCGCGGUAA